rnacentral:misc_RNA from 1 species
GAUGAAGAACGCAGCGAAAUGCGAUACGUAAUGUGAAUUGCAGAAUUCAGUGAAUCAUCGAAUCUUUGAACGCAUAUUGCGCUCUCGGGUAUUCCGGAGAGCAUGCUUGUUUGAGUAUCAGUAAACACCUCAACUUCCAUAUCUUUUUUGAAAUGGGAGUUGGACUUGAGUGAUCCCAACGCUUUUCCUCACCGAAAAGUGGCGGGUUACUUGAAAUGCAGGUGCAGCUGGACUUUUCUCUGAGCUAUAAGCAUAUCUAUUUAGUCUGCCUAAAAAACAGAUUAUUACCUUUGCUGCAGCUAACAUAAAGGAGAUUAGUUCUUGUGCUGACUGAUGCAGGAUUCACAAAGACGGCUUCGGCCGACUUUGUAAACUCGAUCUCAAAUCAAGUAAGACUACCCGCUGAACUUAAGCAUAUCAAUAGCGGAGGA